UACGAAGGGGGCUAGCGUUGCUCGGAAUCACUGGGCGUAAAGCGCACGUAGGCGGAUUGUUAAGUCAGGGGUGAAAUCCUGGAGCUCAACUCCAGAACUGCCUUUGAUACUGGCGAUCUUGAGUCCGGGAGAGGUGAGUGGAACUGCGAGUGUAGAGGUGAAAUUCGUAGAUAUUCGCAAGAACACCAGUGGCGAAGGCGGCCACCUGGGCCGACCCUGACGCUGAGGCGCGAAGGCGUGGGGAGCGAACGGG
rnacentral:rRNA from 1 species